rnacentral:rRNA from 1 species
UUGACCUCGGAUCAGGUAGGGAUACCCGCUGAACUUAAGCAUAUCAAUAAGCGAGAGGAAC